CAUAGCGUAGCUUAAUACAAAGCACCUGGCUUACACCCAGAAGAAUCCAACAUCAACGGACGCCAUGA
rnacentral:tRNA from 1 species